rnacentral:rRNA from 1 species
GCCUACAGCCAUACCAGCCUAAGUAUACCAGUUCACGUCUGAUCACUGAAGUCAAGCAGGGUCGGGCCAUGUCAGUACUUGGCUGAGUGACUGCAUUGGAGCACAUGGUGAUGCAGGCU